UCAGCAAGUUGUCCAACGAAUGACUUGUUUGUCUUUGCAAAUCCCACCAGGCCUGAUGCAUUGAGAAUUCCCAGCAAUCUCGUGCUUUCUCGACCACAUCCAAGUGAGAUUCUGAGGCUUUAAUUGCCUCUAGUUUUACGUGGAGUUUUCAUGGUUACAGCCAUCUCACCAGCUGAGGAGUAUUUGGGGCUGUAAGAAACAUUAUAUAAGCAUGUCGUGGAACCCACUGCUGAAGAUCCGCAAGCGUUUGUGGAGAAAGCAGGGGACGUCGAGCAGAAAGGAGAGGUGCAAGGAAUAGAUGUGGAUGAUACCGAUGACAGAGGGGUUCGUUUGUGGAAACAUUGCAAUCGAUGCAAGGAGAGCACGCACAGCCCAGAAGAAUUCCGAGUUAAGAUGGUGAAGUUGUGCUGCAUAGGAGGAGUUCCCAAAUUGAGAUUCAUGGCGAAGUUGCAGCCGUUAUCUACAUACAAACUCGGGUGGAGUUCGCUGGAGUUCGUCUUUGCUUCCAGGCGGCAACUCCCAUCUCGAAGAAUAACAUUGGCAAACCCUAAAGGAGCAGCCUUGGCACUAAAUUCCCAAAUGCACACAAGAGCCAGUAGGAAACAAAGCACAGACCGACGAACUAGCUAGACUGAGAGACUCAGUGAGGUUGAUAUAUCAACAGUUUUCAUAAACAUCAUCCAGUAAAAGAUAAGACCUAACACUUAAAAUUAUUUCGGUUUACCUUUUACCAAUAUAAAACCAUAGCAUGGCAAAACCUACAUAGCUAUGGCAAGGGCAAAGAAGGCGGCCACUGCACCGAAGUUAGCCAAGUCACAGAGAGACAAGAAAAAUGGCUGGAUUGAGCCAAAGGUUACAGUAUCUAGUGAAAAGGCCUUGUCCUCAGCUCUAGUUAACAAGGAAAAUGAGAUUGUUGGCAAGAAGAAGACUGACGAUUUCGUGCUAGUCUCGAAUCCAUGGUCAGUGCUUAGAUUGAACAUCGAUAUGGAUAGCAAGAAACAAGCGUCGGUGGCUCAUGAAGCGAUCAUCAAAAAGGACAAGCAAAACUCAGCAACGCCACCAUCAAAGAACGGUGAGCUGGAUCAUGCCAAUUUGAAGAGAAAGAAGAAGCACUCUAAGAAAUCAUCAAGCGCUGCCCUGGAGAACAAGGAUGAAUCUGAUGCCAGGAAAAUCGAAUUGGAACGUGAGGAAGUGGUUGAGGAAACGGCCUUGAAAGAAGAAAGAGUGGUCGAUCAGAGCUCGGGACUCUUGAUCGUAGUGACUCUUUUAGUUAUUGCUAUCUUGUUCUUCAUGCUAAUGUGAAACAAGGUUUUCCUUUUGGUUUGAUAACAAGUACAUCCAACGGCCACGAUUGCUUUAGGGUUCUAGCUUGUGGGCGGCUAAUCUUUUGGUGCUCUUCCACUAAACGCAUAAACGAAUUCUAGGUCGAUUCGAUCGGGUCUAGGGAAAUUUCGAUCGCGCAUGCGGCCGGAUUCUCCCUUCGCGCAUCCAAAUCGAGCGAAAUUCCGCACUUCGCGUCUAGCUAGAGCCAGGACAAUCUCAUCGAGAGCCGUGUUUUUUAGAAUGUGCCAGGCAUAUUCGAUCUUUAUGAUUCGUUUUUUGAAUAUUGGCAUAUUCGACACUUUCUAGAUUGUGAGCAAAAAAUGCUCCAAGUCAUAUUCCACGGUCAAGUCGAGCUGCUGGUACGUCCCUAUGACAUUCAGGUACAGUCCAACGCUGUCAGACAGCCCGAUUGCCAUGCAAAUGGUAUUGUUCACGUUGCCUGAAUCAUCAAGCAAAAACCAUGGUGGCACUUCGAUUCGAGCACCGGCACCGCCCAAGAAGUGAUAAGAGAGGGGCUGCUGGUGGAGGAAAGUGAUGUUGUGGCAAAGCUCCAGGCCAAGAGCAUUUGCGAUGCUGCUUGAUACUUCCACCAGAUUGGUGGUGUAGUUUCUUAUUGCUUGUACCAGCUGAGUGUAGAAAUCCGAUGCCAAGUAGCUCAAAAAGGUGGUGGUGGCAAUGACUGUUCCACUGGAAAGAAGUCCCUGAAUUGGACUUGAAACUUGUUAUUGUCGAUAGAAAUGGUAGCUAAGUUGAUGAAGUAGAGCUCGGCUGCUUGUGGGUUUGUGAUCAUGGAGGUGUAGGCCAUGGACGAAGAAAUGGAGGCGUUCCUGAGCUUGUAGUUCCCAAUUACAAGCUUUCCACGGAAAGUAUGCUAGGGCAAACAGUAGAUAAACUUGCUCCUGUGCUCAAUUGCCCUAUGAAUGACACGUUACUGUCAAGGAGUUCGAGCAGCCCCCCACUGUCGCGGCCACAACCCAAGGACAAGUUGGCCGCCACCUUUUGGUUUCGUACGGAAUCCAUUGUUGCAAUGUCGCUGACCAAGUCAUCAGCCGAGGAGAAGUUAGUAGCGUACGAUGUGUUGUAUGAGCAAGGGGAGGAUGGUCCACAGCUCGUAGAAAUGGCACUGAAUGCUGAGCACGAAGAAGCUUGGUGUGAGAAGUUGACAAACCUGGCUGGAAGAGAGAUGCGGUGGUGCAAUUGAUUGCACAGGACGAGGAGCAUGCCACCCAAGAAAACCCGGAGUCCACCACGAGAGUGAAGUUGAGCGGCUGAGGUGGAGUUCCCAAUCUGAGAUCCAUGGCGAAAUUGAGUGCACCAUCGAGAAAGAAGCUGGCUUCCAAGGUUUGACUGCUUUUGCGAGAAGAGGGCAAAAACAGGCUAGUGUUGACAAUUGGCGUCCUGUUGUGCGGGAAGAGACCACCAGCACGGUUGGGAUGUGGAAUCCUUGCACGCUGUCCUUGAAUGCAUCCUGCAAAAGCUACCAACAAGCAUAGUUACAAACACGGCCGGGAUCCCAGCCUGUUUCAUGAACACAGCCAUGGUUCAUGUUCCCACGGCCAGUGUUCAUGAACAGAGUAUACUGUUGCGAACACAGGCCGUGAUCCCGGCCAUGGUUGCCAGGAUCAUGGCCCAUGUUUGUUUGAUUCAUGCACGCAACAAUCUAGGGUAAGCUCUUGAUCUUGUUUGCCACCACUGCCACGGCCGAUUCUGGCAGUGCCACAGCUGCUGCUGCCACUGCUGAUUCUGGCAGUGCCACAGCUGCUGCUGCCACUGCUGAUUCUGGCAGUGCCACAGCCGCUGCUGCCACUGCUGAUUCUGGCAGUGCCACAGCCACCUCCGCCUCUCCAUUUGCCACGGAUUGAGAGGCGCUUCAUCUGCCCUCCUGCUGCCAAGCAUGGCACAGCAAUCUAGCAUCUGCAGGGGCGAAUCACAGUGGUGGGAUGAUGUAAGUGUGCUUAGGGGGCACCACAAACUGUAGUCAUGCAAAUAUUGCACAAUGGUGAACAAGCUUAAUGGUGUUGAUUGUGUGCAAGCUUAUCUAUUGGGAAAAGGCCUAGGCAGCAGGGAUAUUGUGAGUUGCCCCCUUAUCCCAGGUAACAAGAAGGUAGAGUUGGUUAAUGUGCAAAAGGUUAUUGAUUUUGAAAUAUGUAAAAGGGGGAAGAAAUGGUUGAAUGUAGAACUUUCAGUGCUAGUGGUAUUAUCCCAAGCAAGUGGAAGUGAUUGUCUUUACUUGUUGUUUAGCAAGAAGAGCCAAGUCCAUAUUGUAGAUUUAAUGAAUCCAUAAUGGAAGAGUUGAGUUGAUGCAGUGAUUAGAAGAUUUUUCUAGAAUGAACAUAUUCCAUUUAUGAAGGCUUGAUCCCCUUACUUCCUCAACAUAAUCCAGGAAGUUGCCAGGCAUAGUGUGCAUUAUGCACCACUAAAAUAUAAUGAUCUUCGGAAGAAGCUUUUAUUGAAAGAGAAGGGAUUCAUUGAUGUUGAGAUGGCAUCCAUGAAGAAGCAGUAAGAGCAGAGAGGUGUAACCAUAGGCAGAUAGGAGGAAUUGGCAUAUUAUAAGAUUUGUGGUAUAUAGUCAAGGAUGGUAGCUUUUUUGAAGGUUAUCAAUAUUUCCUCAACAGGAAAAAUAGUUGAGAAUAUUUUUGUGUUGUUGGGAAGAAGGCAUUAGCAUUGUGGGUGCAAAGAAUAUUAUUAUGGUUAUAACAAAUAGGGAAAAUGUGAAUAGAGUAGCAACAAUAAUGCAAAGGUACCUAAAGAUUCAAUUGGCAACAUAUUUUGCCCAUUGUUUGAACAAUGCCUUAAAAGACUUCAGUGAACUUUCAUGGAUGGUAAUGCUUCUAGAGCAAGAAAAGGCUUUGGUGAACUUUGUCAGGAACCACUUUCAUAUGGUGGCACUAUUAGCAAAGUGUAAAUGACUAAUUUUUCCAUUUUAUUUUAAUCAUUUAACCACACCUCCAACCACUUGAAGGAGUCUCAUUCACAAACUCCAUAAGUUCAAUUUUGGAUUUGGGAUUUGCUAACCUUGAAAAUGGCAUCUAUGCCACUCAACCUUUGCACUUGGUCCAAGUGCUCCACAUGUCUAGUCCCAUGAUCAACACCCUAAGGUACCACCAACAUACCAGCUUAUUACGCUAAAACUAUGCUCAUUCACCUUGGUCAUACUGGUGGUCUAACACCACUUGCAUUGCUAUCCCGUCUCUCAAAGACUGGGCCAUUUGUCCAUGAGUAACCAUCCAAGAUCCACUCCUUAGCAUCCUUAAGAUGCCUACAUAUAUGGGGAAUAACCUUCCCCAAUAUCCCUUUUACAAUCCUCACUAAGUCCUUUUUCUGUCCAUGGCCGUGUUUGCUAACAUUGGCACUGGGACAAGGCCCACAAGCCUGACCACUAAGUUCCACUGUCCUUUAGGAUUUCCUUGCCACAUGAUCGUAUCCUUGGUCACUACAACAGAGGACCAUUCCUCUUCCUUUCCAUAGUCUAGGACUUUGGGACAACAUUUCAGAACACCAUGGCCUUACACAAGCCUCAUGGGUACUUUCCCCACCUUCUGCCUUUGGGUGCUUUAGCCAUGGGCUUAGAGCAAGGUUCUGUUGAGCCAUGCUAGGUAUCCAAGUAGGUAGUGCCACCUAUGCUUGGAUUGGGAGCAUCGACCAUUUGAUCUCUUGGGGGAACUAAAGUCAGCUUUUAAACAAUUCACCAAGCUACCCUGCUUGUUGGUCCAUAUUCACUCUAGCUUUGGACUCCCAUUGGUUAUCUUAUCACCCAACAUCUGAGUACAACCUUCCUAGGCCAAAUUGGCUCCACUAGGAUCCAACCCUCACACUCUCCCUACUAUACUUUUGGAACCCCUUAUAGCUCCCCCCCCCCCUGUGGGGGACAAUUGCUUUGGGCUUUCACCCAAUAGUCUGUAUUAGUAAUCAAACUCAAACUCGAACUUGGACUUAGACUCGGACUCGGACUUGGUCUCAGUCUCGGUCUUGGCCUCGGACUCGAACUCAGUCUUGGUCUCAGUUCCAUCUCAAACUCCAUCUCGGGUCCAUCUCGGGUCCAUCUCGGGUCCAUCCCGAACUCCAUCUCAGGUCCAUCUCAGACUCCAUCUCGGGUCCAUCUCGGACUCCAUCUCAGGUCCAUCUCAGACUCCAUCUCAAACUCCGUCUUAGGUCCAUCUUGAACUCCAUCUCGGACUCCAUCUCGGACUCCAUCUUGGGUCCAUCUCGGGUCCAUCUAGGACUCCAUCUCGGACUCCAUCUUAAGUCUAUCUCAGACUCCAUCUCGGGUCCAUCUCGGACUCCAUUUUAGUCUCCAUCUUGGGUCCAUCUUGGACUCCAUCUCGAGUCCAUCUCGGACUCCAUCUCAGACUCCAUAUUGGGUCCAUCUUGGAUUCUAUCUUAGGUCCAUCUCGGACUCUAUCUCGGGUCCAUCUCGAACUCCUCCAUGUGUCAUAUGUUAGUCCUCUUAUGUCCUUUUUCUAGAGACUCACUUAUUACUCGCUUUAUACUUGUUUUUUGAGCACUUCGUUGGGAGUUCCACUCCCGCUCUUGACCUUUCAAGUUGAAGCUUUUAGUCCAAACGUGUUAUGCUUGUUUGGCUUUCACUUUGGCCACUACCACAUGGCACCCUUUUGGCUCCGUUUUGGGGCUUAGGGAUUUGUGUCUCACACAAAGUUUACUCAUAAGCGAAUGCUAUGCUAUUGUGAUACAAAGUUUUACUACAACUUCAUUAUGAUGGAGAGGCUAGUGGAGCUCUAGGAUGCUCUACAAUAGAUGUUUGUAUACCCUACGUAUAGAGCAAGGCUUGAGUCAAAGAUGAGAGCAGGUAGAGAUCGUUAUGAAACUGUUUUUGAUGACCAUUUUUGGGAACAGGUUAAGGACAUGUUAGAGGUGUAUGAGGAUGUUAUGCUACUACUUUAUCUUGUGGACAGUGAUAUACUUGCAAUUGGAAAAAUAUAUGAGUGUAUGAACAGGUUUGAUGCAAGUUUAGAGGAAGGACGGUCAGAUUAUAGUAGGUAUAUGGAACUUCAUUAGAUCAUGUUUAACCGGUGGCAUGAAAAUCACUCGCUCAUGCACUUGGUGGCAUAUAUGCUAGACCCCAAGUUUCAAGAGCAUAAAAAGCAUGCCAACAAAGAAGUUAUGAAGGAUUGGAAUGCUUAUCUAUUGGCCAUGUUUACAUCUAGUGAGAGGGACGUGAUACGAGAUGAACUUUUAAUUUACAAGAGGAUAGGAAGCAUUUUCAACUCGAUUGAUGCUAAAUCUGAUCGCACUAAGAAGGGAGCUGUAUGUUGGUGGGAGGACUAUAGUUAUGAAAUUCCAGUUCUUCAAAAGUUGGCCAUUCAAAUUCUAAGCCAGGCAUGCUUGUCAUCCUCGGUGGAGAGAUUAUUCAACACUUUCGAGCAUGUGUCUUCAAAAAAGAAAAACAAACUUAUUGUGGAUAGGACAACAGAUUUGGUUUUCGUGGUUUGCAAUAGCAAAUUGUUAACUUGCAAAAAUGACUGUAACUACGACAAAUUUGUGAGGUACAAAGUAUUAGAGAUAGUUCUUCAUCUAGAAGACGAGCUUGAGUAGGAAGAUGGAGAUGAUGUUGAAGAUUGUGAGGUUGAAGAUAAUGAUGACUUGUAGGAUGUUUGAGUAUAAUAAAAGUAGCAUAUUCCAAGAAUAAAAAAGAAUAUUCUUAGAAUAUUCGCUAGAAUAUUCAUGAGCCAUAUCAUGUUCUGUGGUCGGGUUCCUGAAAUCUAAAGCUCAUGUUCGUGUUCCAUGUUCAUGUUUGUAACUAUGCCAACAAGAGCACAAUUGCUACACAAAGAGCUCCUCAUUUGAAAACUAGCAAAUUGCAAAGAUAAAGAAGCUAUAUAUAUCUCGAGUUUACAAAUCAAUCCAGACUGAAUUUACUAUGUUGACGCAGUUUGUAUAGUAAACUUGACAAGAUAAAGUUUUGAAGGUGUCUUACUUAAACAAGCAGGAGAUACGUCAGGAGAGGAAGAAAAGAAAACAUUUGAGUUGUAGAAGAUUUCCACACGAAGAUGUAUGUAAAACCAGAAGAAGUGUCAAGGUUCAUGCUGACAUUGCAUCCUGCUGUUCCAAAUCCAAUCUCCUGCUUUUCCAAAUCAAACUCCACUGCCACAUCCAGCUGCUGGUAGGUUCCUAUAACAUUCAGUGAGAACCCCACCUUUUGCGAGUCUCCAACAGCCAAGCAUACAGUAGCAUUUUCAGCAUCAUCAUCUAGCAGAAACCAUGUCCGAAAUUCAACCUGUGUGCCAUUCUCAAAGUGAUAAGUCAGAGUUUGUGGUGGUGGUGUGUCACCAUUUACAGAAACAUUGUAGCAAAUAUCAUUGCCAAGCAGUGCUGCAGUUUUGUUGCUCGAUACUUUAGUAAGGUUGGAGUUGAGGUUUUGUAUGGCUUGCACAAGAGGGGUGUAGGAAUCUGGUGUGAAAUAGCUGAAUGCAAACGUUGAAUCAAUGAUCGUUCCUCCAGUUCCAUCGGCAAGAAUGCCUUGCACCAGAAAAGUCAACAUGUCGUUGAUACUUAUGGAUCUCAAGCCGAUGUAAUACAACGCAGUGGAAAUUGGAUUUACGAUCAUUGGAGUGUAAGAAAGAGAGGAGUUCGAUGAUAUCUUAUAAUUUCCGAACACGAUUUUGCCACUAAACGUAUCAGAUGGAGCACAAUAGAUAAACUUGCCUGUAUAGUCCAUUUCAGCAAGUUGUCCGAUGAAUGACUUGUUUGUCUUUGCAAAUCCCACCAGGCCUGAUGUACUGAGAAUUCCCAGCAAUCUCGUGCUUUGUCGACCACAUCCAAGUGACAUUCUAAGGCUUUUAUUGCCUCUAGUUUUACGUGGAGCUUUCAUGGUUACAACAUCACUAGCCAUCUCACCAGCUGAGGAGUACCUGGGGCUGUAAGAAGCAUUAUAUAAGCAAGUCGUGGAACCCACUGCUGAAGAUCCACAAGAGUUUGUGGAGAAACCAGGGGAUGUCGAGCAGAAAGGAGAGGUGCAAGGAAUUCUACUUUAAGAUGUGGAUGAUGCCGAUGAAAAGAGGGGUUCGUUUGUGGAAACAUUGCAAUCGAUGCAAGGAGAGCAAGCAGCCCAGAAGAAUUCCGAGUUAAGUGCCAUGGUGAAGUUGUGCUGCAUAGGAGGAGUUCCCAAAUUGACAUUCAUGGCGAAGUUGAGGCCGUUAUCUGGAGUUCGUCUUCGCUUCCAGGCGGCAACUCCCAUCUCGAAUCCCUCUUCUAUCGCAACUUUCAAGACCGUUCUUGCAAUAACAUUGGCCAACCCUAAAGGAGCAGCCUCGACGUGAGGACGACUAAAUUCCCAAAUGCACACAAGAGCCAGUAGGAAACAAAGCACAGACCGACACCUCUCCAUGGAGGAUUGAGAAACUCUUGGAAGAUUGGAAAAACUAGAUUGAGAAACUCUUGAGGCAAGAUUGAGGCAAUAUAUAUUUGAUGACAU
rnacentral:lncRNA from 1 species